rnacentral:rRNA from 1 species
GACGAACGCUGGCGGCGUGCCUAUACAUGCAAGUAGAACGCUGAAGGAGGAGCUUGCUUCUCUGGAUGAGUUGCGAACGGGUGAGUAACGCGUAGGUAACCUGCCUGGUAGCGGGGGAUAACUAUUGGAAACGAUAGCUAAUACCGCAUAAUAGUAGAUGUUGCAUGACAUUUGCUUAAAAGGUGCAAUUGCAUCACUACCAGAUGGACCUGCGUUGUAUUAGCUAGUUGGUGAGGUAACGGCUCACCAAGGCAACGAUACAUAGCCGACCUGAGAGGGUGAUCGGCCACCCUGGGACUGUGACACGCCCCAGACUCCUACGGGUGGCAGCAGUAGGGAAUCUUCGGCCAUGGACGGAAGUCUGACCGAGAAACGCCGCGUGAGUGAAGAAGGUUUUCGGAUCGUAAAGCUCUGUUGUAAGAGAAGAACGAGUGUGAGAGUGGAAAGUUCACACUGUGACGGUAUCUUACCAGAAAGGGACGGCUAACUACGUG